GCGUUGUUGUACGCAGAAAUGCCACCGACGAAAGGGCUCCGUAGAGGUCAUUCGUGAAGGCAACCAUUCGACGGAAGCCCGAACUUGCCUUGGACUAUUUCAUUUCUGUGUUGAGUGACAUCUUGUAGACAGAUACUUUGAACGUUGCGUGGUGGCGGUACUUGGGCAGUGGAAAUUCGAUAAAGGACUUGCAUUUGAAAUUUAAACGUGGAAGAGCAACAAUUUCUAGAACUACUUCGUCAGUUUGUCAAGCUGUAUGGAAAUAUCUUCGACCACAGUAUAUUGAAGAGAACACAGUAGAAAAUAACAAAAUAUUG